GCUGGCGGCAUGCUUUACACAUGCAAGUCGAGCGGCAGCGCGGGGGCAACCCUGGCGGCGAGCGGCGAACGGGUGAGUAAUACAUCGGAACGUGUCCCGUANUGGGGGAUGGCCCGGCGAAAGCCGGAUUAAUACCGCAUAUGCUCUACGGAGGAAAGUGGGGGACUCGCAAGGGCCUCACGCUAUGGGAGCGGCCGAUGUCCGAUUAGCUUGUUGGCGGGGUAAUGGCCACCAAGGCGACGAUCGGUAGCUGGUCUGAGAGGAUGAUCAGCCACACUGGGACUGAGACACGGCCCAGACUCCUACGGGAGGCAGCAGUGGGGAAUUUUGGACAAUGGGGGAAACCCUGAUCCAGCCAUGCCGCGUGCGGGAAGAAGGCCUUCGGGUUGUAAACCGCUUUUGGUCGGAAAGAAAAGGCGCCGCCUAAUACGGGGCGCUCUUGACGGUACCGGCAGAAUAAGCACCGGCUAACUACGUGCCAGCAGCCGCGGUAAUACGUAGGGUGCGAGCGUUAAUCGGAAUUACUGGNCGUAAAGCGUGCGCAGGCGGUUCUCCAAGUCCGUUGUGAAAGCCCCGGGCUCAACCUGGGAAUGGCAGUGGA
rnacentral:rRNA from 1 species